AAUCUCAAUCCCCUAUGGUUUUCUGAACCGUCGGUGGACUUGGAAAUGGGCGUCUGCCUCACAAGGCUCGCCUCAAAUGACUUAGUGGGAACUUCUUGACCUACGCCUGACGUGAUAAGUUUCGUCUCGGCCGGUCCUGAGGCCCGCUCACAACCAACCACAUCUUUUUGA
rnacentral:misc_RNA from 1 species